AGUGAACGCUGGCGGUAGGCCUAACACAUGCAAGUCGAACGGCAGCACAGUAAGAGCUUGCUCUUACGGGUGGCGAGUGGCGGACGGGUGAGGAAUACAUCGGAAUCUACUUUUUCGUGGGGGAUAACGUAGGGAAACUUACGCUAAUACCGCACACGACCUACGGGUGAAAGCAGGGGAUCUUCGGACCUUGCGCGAUUGAAUGAGCCGAUGUCGGAUUAGCUAGUUGGCGGGGUAAAGGCCCACCAAGGCGACGAUCCGUAGCUGGUCUGAGAGGAUGAUCAGCCACACUGGAACUGAGACACGGUCCAGACUCCUACGGGAGGCAGCAGUGGGGAAUAUUGGACAAUGGGCGAAAGCCUGAUCCAGCCAUACCGCGUGGGUGAAGAAGGCCUUCGGGUUGUAAAGCCCUUUUGUUGGGAAAGAAAAGCAGCAGGUUAAUACCCCGCUGUUCUGACGGUACCAAAAGAAUAAGCACCGGCUAACUUCGUG
rnacentral:rRNA from 1 species